AUGAGAAAGUUUAUAAACGUUUUAAUGAAUGAGAGAGGAUUUACAUUUAAUUUUAGGUCAAACCAGAAAGAUGACAAUGGAUGUGUUGAUAUUUUUGUUACUACUUUGAGAGAAAAACUCCUGAUGGUGCUGAUGUCCAAUGAAAUGAGACUGGGUUCUGGAAGAAUUUGGUAAGGAGGAGAAAAGAAAGAAGGAAAAAUUGGAAAGAUAAAUGGGGUCUUCCAGUGAAGGUAAGACAGCAACGGUUGGAUUAAUUAAUGAUUAAUAACAAGCAAAAAUUAGUGAAAAUGGAGCAGCAUACCUAAUAUUACCUAGAUAUUUGUAUUUAAAUUUUAUUAUGCAUCAUGUUUCCUAUUUGAAAAUAAUGUUUUCAUAAGCAUCAAAACUACAAAACAAUUUAGAUGUAAGCAACAGUCUUCCUUGCCCUAAAAUUUCAUCUGGGAGUAGAUUCUAGAAUGUUUUAGGAAGACUUAAGGAUACAUUCCUAGCCAUUUUAAAAUUAAAAUUAUGCUUCAAAUAUCAAUAAAAUGAGAAUAUAAUUGCUUUUGUAAAUUUUAGUGGAAUUUUGGGGUACUCAAUAAAGGGUUUAGGUCAUUGGUCUCACAUCUAUGGAAGCACAGUGUCAGUACUGGUAGAGCUGGAGAAGUUUGCAGAACAUGAAACAGUUAGUUUGCUGGACCUGGGGUUUUCCUUAAUUCCUAAUUUAAGUCCUUUCAGGUUUUGUUUGUUUGUUUUUGUUUUUGUUUUUGUUUUUAACUAUUGAGGAAAGUUAAAGGGUGGAAUUCAGUUUAUAGAAUAUUACUUUGUAAUGAAUUUAGGAGGGCAUAAAUACUUUAUGUUUAGACAUAAAUACAGUUGUCUCUUCAGAUCUGUAUGCAAUGUGUCCAUGGAUUCAACCAACCCUGAAUCAAAAGUAUUUGGGGGGGAAAAAAAAGAAUGAUUGCGUCUGUACUGAACAUAUACAGACAUUUUUCUUGUAAUUAUUCCUUAAACAAUACAACAUAAUAACUAUUUAUAUAGCAUUUAUAUUGCAUUAGGUAUCAUAAGUAAUCUAGAGUUGAUUUAAAGGAACAGAAAGAUCUGUGUAGGUUACAUGCAAAACGGAUAGCAUUUUAAAUAAAAGAUUUGAGUAUCCAAGGAUUUUUGUAUCCACAAGGGUUUCUGGAACCAAUCCCCCACAAAUACCGAUAGAUGACAAUGUCUAUGAAAAUACAUAAACAUAGAAAUAUCCUACAAACUACAAGAGAAAUAAAAGAAUAAAAAUUGUUUUUAGUUGUACAAAAAUCCAUUUAAAUGUUUUUUUAAAAGAGGACAAAAUUUGGUGUGGUUACGGAGUUUAUUAUUUUUGUGUUGAAAAUAAAUGUUAUUAACUUUUCUUUAAUAAGGAAGUUAGGUUUAUUUAUAUAGCUUAUCUUUUAAGUGAUUUUACAUACACAUAUUUCAGUUACAAAAUGUAUUUCAAUUUUAAUUCAAAGUGAAAAGUCAUGAGUUCUCUUUAGAAUUUUGCCAUACGUGAUAUUUGAUCUAAGUCCUAAGAUAUUGACUAAAGAAAUUUAUUUUCUUUUUUUGCAUAAAAAUGUAAUUUCUUCAGUAGGUUUAAUUUUAUGCUGCAUUUUAAAAUUAUCUGGCAAUAACUUAUGUAAAAUAUAGUCUCAUUUCCUUUCAGUCUUUUUUAAGUAAGGCUCUGGAGAAAUAAAUAAAUCUACCAAUAUGUAGACCACAGAACUUUAUCAUCAAUAUGGGUGCUAGGGGCUAAGAAGCUCAAAGUGAGAUAUUAGGCCCCUGACCUCAAGGAGAUUACCCUCUGGCUUUACAGUUAAAAUUAAAACAAACACAUGAAACAGUUAACGAAAAUGUUACCUGUUUGGUACAGAACAUGCUUUAGAAGAGUUUGGAAACAAGAGUGUUUGGAAGCUUCUAUAGAACCACUCUAUGGAGGGGAUGAACUGAAUGGAUGCUGAAAAAUGAGGAGACAUUGUAAACAGCUGUGUUGCUUUAAAGUUAUAUUAUGUUUUAUAAUUCAGUAUUAAGGAAGCAACUGAUAUCAACUAAUUUGCCUUUGGAUGUUGCAAAUGAUAUUCAACUUAUCCAUUUCACCAUGGUACAUUAACACAGAAAAUAUUCACACAUAGAUAGCCCUACAUAAGAAAAAUUAACUAGGUAAUGAUUAUAUAUGGUUAAUAAUAAUACAAUUAUAUGUUAAAAUGUAUAAAUUUUAUAUGUAGCAAGGUCUAGAGUUGUGAGAAUGCUAUCUGUAAAGACACAGUUUGUAAUAAAAGAUAAUUUAAUUAAGGGGUUUUAAAAUCACCCUUUAUUAAGUUGCUAUUUACCUAAGUUGAUUAUUUUCUUCAAAAUCAACAAUGUUAUUACUAUUGUUUCCAAACAGCUGUAUGAAAAGUUACAGAAAAUGGAAAAAGCACAACAUCUAAGCAAAAAGAAAACAGAAAUAUUGAACUAAAUCAUUCAAUAUCAAUAUAUUAAUUUCCUGAAUAUACAAUGGAUCUACACAUACAAUACAAAUGGACUAUUGCUUUUACCUAUUCUUUUUCUAAGGAAAAGGCAGAUCACUUUAGUGUGCUAAAUUCUUUGAUAUUUAAUCAUAUGGCCCAUAUUGAGUAGUUAUAAUUUGGCUAUAGUAAUAAAUUAUUAUAUAAAAGUUGCCCAUUUAAAUGUUUAUAAUAACCAUAUAAAGUUCAUCUUUACUUUAGUGCAGACUUCUCUCCCAUGUCCUGGUUUACCUCACAGGCAUUGCCCAAUCUUUUUAAACUGGAACUCCCCUGUAUUUGCUUAUCCUUCAGGGUGUCUCACCGUGGUCAGUAAGAUCACAU
ensembl:lncRNA